AAAAAAAAACCAAAAAAAU
rnacentral:sRNA from 1 species